UCAACCCUGAGACACUUUUAUAGCAAUUGCACCUGCCCCACCUCCCUGCACUGCAGGUGUGACCUUUCUGUACUGGGCUGGACAGGGCAGAUUGGGUCACACUGGCACAGAAUGGGACUGAACUCUCUCAUCCUCAACUUCUGAGGCGACAGGUGCUGUGGGGUCACCUGGAAGAAGAAAUCUCCUGGGCUGAGUCUCCUCCACCAGCUGGGGGCAGCAGAGCUGUAGCCAGGAGCAGUCAGGAGAGAGGCUGGGGCUGUCCAGCUGGGGCAAAGAGGAAGGCCAGCCUGGGGUUCAACAGGUGUCCAAGAGUCGGUGUUCAGACUGAAAGUGAAGACAGUUCAUCCUAUCCCCUCAGGUUAUAGUGACCACGUUCUGAGGGUCAGACUCAUACAGUAUCACCCAAGGACACCAACAGAAGCCUAGCACCGUGAAGGCCUCACCUGGGAAAUGCAGCUAGAAGAGGCUGAGCCCAGGUGUCAGUUUGGGCAGCUUCUUCAGGAAGAGGAUUCUCUGGGAGAUGUCCCGAGGUCGAGGUGCUCUAGGAGGGGACACAGUGUGAGAGCAUGGGGCUCCCAGGGCCCGAGUCCUUCACCCAGGAUGGCUGCCUGAGCCUCCUGUAACUCUCAGGGCCUUGUUCUGCCCUGUCCAGCAGUGUCCUGGGGAGCUGUGCCCUCUGUCCUGGGCACUUCCAGAUAUACCGGCCCCCUCCUCCCUCUGCCUCUCCUUCCAGCUCCAGGUAGACUCUGAUUCAGGGGGCAGCUCCUGUGCUCAGGGGAGUCACAGGUGGGUGGGAUGAAGCAUUCUGGGGCCCUGAUCCCUGCAUGGAGCAUCCUCAGGAGCAUCCUUCAGGAGAUGCUUUCCAGGGGGACAGGGCUCCUCCCCUGCUUCAGGCCACAGCCUUGACCCUGGUGCUGUCCAUGUUCAGUGAUGGGACAAUGACCAGGAGCCUGGCUGGAGAAACCAGGGACCACCCACCCUCUGGAGCUCACGUGCUGUGCAGAGACCAUGGGGCCUAAAGUUAGAUUGUCAGUCCAGUGUGGUUUUCUGCUGCUUUUUGCAAGUUUUCAUAAAACAUUGAUGAGAAAAACAUAUAUAAAUUCUGGCUGAGCUGAGGGUGUCAAUGCUAAAUCUCUUGUGGCAAUGAGGGGUGAUGUAGAAGGAGCAGCACCAUGGCUGAAAUGAGACCAGAGGCCCUGUUGACUCCACAGGGGUGUGUUGUUGCUUAAAUGACCCAACUAUUCCUCCUGAAGUAAUUAGCAAGUGUCCUGAUGACACAGCGCAGCAUUUAGGUGGAAUGAACAAGAGGGGACUGAGUCUGAGGGACCAGCAGGAGGAAGAUGAUGGGUCCCUGGUCCACGUGCUGCUGAGUCAGGUGUCAUCAUGAUCUCUCAGCAGAGCCCAGCUCAGCCCCAUGGCCAACCUCCUGGAAGGUCCACAGCUCUGCUGAACCUGGUCCAGGACAGACCCCAGGUCAGCGAGGUUUGGGACAGUGGUCAUGAGAUCAAUUCCCAGAAAGGUGACUGUGAUCACAGACCUUGAAGGCUGCAGCUGAUUUUCUAAUCUGAGACCCUGCUUCUUCCUCCUGUUGCCUGUGCUGCCCCUGCAGCUGGUUUGAGUGAUCUCUCUCCAGGAAGAGUCUCAGAGGACGUAAAUUUGCAUAAACACUAAACACUGACUGCCCCAAAAGCCUGAGAGGGAAUAAGAGCGGCCUGGGGAGCCCAGCUGUGCUGUGGUUCUAGGAGGAAGAGCUCUGGGUGUCUCACCAUGACCUGGACCACUGUUCUGCUCCCCUUUCUCACUCUCUGCACAGGCUCUGAGGCCUCCUAUGAGCUGACACAGCCACCCUCAGUGUCAGUGUCCCCAGGACAGCCAGCCAGGAUCACCUGCUCUGGAGGUACACUGGCAAAAAAAUAUGCUCAGUGGUUCCAGCAGAAGCCAGGCCAGGCCCCUGUGCUGGUGAUAUAUAAAGACAGCGAGAGGCCCUCAGGCAUCCCUGAGCGAUUCUCUAGCUCCAGUUCAGGGACAACAGUCACCUUGACCAUCAGUGGGGCCCAGGCAGAAGACGAGGCUGACUAUUACUGUCAAUCAGCAGACAGCAGUGGUAAUCAUCCCACAGUGACAGAAGCAUAUGGGGAAGUGAGACAUAAACCCCUCCCUCUCUAUUUCAUCCUCUUCUGUGAAAUAGAAGAGGGACAAAGACUGUGGACAAAGCCAUGAGCAGGAUUGG